UAACGCAAAUAUGUAUUUGUGUAAAGAAUUUUUAGAAAAAAAAUGUAUUUAACAAGAGUUUAAUUAGACAUUUAGUGUCCUUGGAGAUAAAUGUCAAUAAAAUCUAAAAUUGUAAUAUAAUAAAAAAAUGAAAAUUUUAGAGGGUAAAAAAUAAAUUUGCCAAAGUAAAAGAACAAAUUAAGACAGCGAUAGAAAAGAAGGUUUAGGUCGAGCCAUGUCCCCUUGACUGGGGAGACGAAACAUGUCACAAGACUCACAACACCACUAACGAUGUAUAUAAAUAGUGCGUUUACUAAUUAAUAAUUGGAAUGAGUUAGAAUAUGAAUGACAUAGAAUCUGAAUGAAGAAAAUAGGAAUUCGAAUAAAUUGUUUACUUAGGCAAUAAGAAUCUGAAUCGAAAUCGGAAUGAAUUACUAUGAAUUACAAAAACAUCCUUAAUUUAUUAUUACCAUUAUUUUUAUUACUUAUUACGUGAUUAUGGUUGUUAUUAUUAUUAAGAAAAUUAUUGUUAAUAAUAAUAAUGGUUAUAGUGAUAAUAAUUUUUUUUGUUUUUUUAUGAUUAUUUAUCUCUCUUUUUUUCUCCAUUUUCUCUUCUUCUUCUCCUUUUUUUUCUUUCUGUCUUUUCUGCAAUUUCUUUGUUACUUCUCUAUCAUCAAUUUCAUCUUCUUCAUCAACAUCAUUAUCAUCACAAUUAUCUUUUUCUUCAUCAACAUCAAAAUUUAGUUUCGUCUUCAUCAUCGUCAUCACAAUUACAUCAUCAAUAAUAAUCAUCACCAUCAUCAAUCAUCAUCAUUAUUGUCAUAAGAAAUUCAUCAUCAUGGUUUCUUUGGUUCCAAGUGAUAGAGACGAGAUGUGUUUGUCUGCAAUGUUAAGGAUUUCGUGGGUUUUUUUUGUAUUUUUUACUUGUAAAGAGAGCAUUUUGGGAAAAUUAAAAAUAUAAUGGGGAUAGUUUUGUCAUUAGAGGAAUAAAGUUCAUAUUCCCAAACCCCCACUGGAAUCAGAACUCUAAUAAUCAAACUUGAUUUUGUAUAGGUCGCAACACUUCAUUCCCAUUUCCAACAUCAAUUUUAACAAAUAAACAAUUUAUUCAUUCCUUUUUCUUCAUUUUGAUUCCCAUUACGGUUUAAUAAAUUGGCCAAGAAUGUAUAUGUAGUGACAAUAUUUGCAAUCAUUUUCAAUUUCUCAAAAAACUUAAUCUUGAUUCCUAAAGAUAUUAUGGAUGGUGCUGUCACGGAGACAGAGAUUGCCAACAAAUAAGCAACAUCAUAGGCAGAAGUUAAUGAAUCAUCAAUAGAUUGAUGCAGCCUCAACCCAAGCCUUUGAAGGAGGAGCGGGAUAGUUAAGUUUAAUUGCAAUUCUGAAUCUCUCUUGAGUAUCUAUUAUUAUUAUUGUUUGUUUGUUUGUUUUAGGUCAAUUUACUUAAUUAUGAUUUUAACAUUAAAUGAAGCAAUACCUAUUCAAAUAAUGCUCACUUUCCUACAUUGUGAUGGACUCAACUACCUUACAACAGUUGCAAGGUACCACCAUUUUGUUUUUUUGUAAUUUUAAUCAUUGACUAUUAGAUUCAAUGAAAACAUAGUUUUAAUAGUAGAGAUUUAUCGAUUUGAAUAUUAACAUUAAACUCCCUGAAAUUUAUCAAAAACUCAAAAAAAUUAAAACUUUUAGCACAUAAGUUCGAAUUGUUUAAUUAGUAGUGAGUCUCAAAAAAUA
rnacentral:lncRNA from 1 species